UGCGUUUUUUUUUGGGGUGAUUGCUUAACGGCGAGGCAAGUUAUAUAUUGAGUGACAGGCGGAAACUUCUUGAUGUGUGUGGGAAAUAUAAAUUUUCUCAGCUUUCCCAGACUUGAGUCCCCGACUUGCUGGAACCAGAUUCGAAUUCGUGGAAUUUACCAAUAAUCGAGAGUGGAACCAAUAAUCGAGAGUGGAAAUGCGUUCGGCGGCUGCCUUUACCACCUCAAUCAAUUUUUUUUUUGUGGCGAUUUUGUGGAAGCAAUCUACCAACCAAUGCGGAGCUGCAUCGUCAUCGGAUUAUCGCCUCACCUGCAUGCAUGCCUAGUAAUGAAUCGGCGUUACAUGUUAUCGCAACACGCAAAGGAAUGAACGAGGUUUAGGGAAAACCACCUUUUGGCAUCAACCGAACCGAACUGCUGCAAGGAAGAAUAUAAUUUCAGUUUUCUUUAAAUUCAAAGAGAUGUUAUAAUUUAUUUUCGAUCGAAAUGUAAAUUGAUAAGCACUA